rnacentral:rRNA from 1 species
GUGGAGCUUGCUCCAUGAUUCAGCGGCGGACGGGUGAGUAAUGCCUAGGAAUCUGCCUGGUAGUGGGGGACAACGUUUCGAAAGGAACGCUAAUACCGCAUACGUCCUACGGGAGAAAGUGGGGGAUCUUCGGACCUCACGCUAUCAGAUGAGCCUAGGUCGGAUUAGCUAGUUGGUGAGGUAAAGGCUCACCAAGGCGACGAUCCGUAACUGGUCUGAGAGGAUGAUCAGUCACACUGGAACUGAGACACGGUCCAGACUCCUACGGGAGGCAGCAGUGGGGAAUAUUGGACAAUGGGCGAAAGCCUGAUCCAGCCAUGCCGCGUGUGUGAAGAAGGUCUUCGGAUUGUAAAGCACUUUAAGUUGGGAGGAAGGGCAGUAAGUUAAUACCUUGCUGUUUUGACGUUACCAACAGAAUAAGCACCGGCUAACUUCGUGCCAGCAGCCGCGGUAAUACGAAGGGUGCAAGCGUUAAUCGGAAUUACUGGGCGUAAAGCGCGCGUAGGUGGUUCGUUAAGUUGGAUGUGAAAGCCCCGGGCUCAACCUGGGAACUGCAUCCAAAACUGGCGAGCUAGAGUAUGGCAGAGGGUGGUGGAAUUUCCUGUGUAGCGG